rnacentral:rRNA from 1 species
GACGAACGCUGGCGGCGUGCCUAAUACAUGCAAGUAGAACGCUGAAGAGAGGAGCUUGCUCUUCUUGGAUGAGUUGCGAACGGGUGAGUAACGCGUAGGUAACCUGCCUUUUAGCGUGGGAUAACUUUUGGAAACGAUAGCUAAUACCGCAUAACAAUGGAUGACACAUGUCUUUUAUUUGAAAGGGGCAAUUGCUCCAAUACAAGAUGGAACUGCGUUGUAUUAACUAGUAGGUGAGGUAAUGGCUCAACUAGGCGACGAUACAUAGCCGACCUGAGAGGGUGGUCGGGCACACUGGGACCGAGACACGGCCCAGACUCCUAAGGGAGGCAGCAGUAAGGAAUCUUCGGCAAUGGGGGCAACCCUGACCGGGCAACGCCGCGGGAGUGAAGAAGGUUUUCGGAUCGUAAAGCUCCGUUGUAAGUCAAGAACGAAUGUGAGAGUGGAAAGUGCACACUGUGACGGUAGCUUACCAGAAAGGGACGGCUAACUACGUG